rnacentral:rRNA from 1 species
UACGGAGGGUGCAAGCGUUAUCCGGAUUCACUGGGUUUAAAGGGUGCGUAGGUGGCUUUGUAAGUCAGUGGUGAAAGCCCGCAGCUCAACUGCGGAACUGCCAUUGAUACUGCUUAGCUUGAAUCAGGUCGAGGUGGAUGGAAUAUUACAUGUAGCGGUGAAAUGCUUAGAUAUGUAAUAGAACACCGAUUGCGAAGGCAGUCCACUAGGCCUGUAUUGACACUGAGGCACGAAAGCGUGGGGAUCAAACAGG